CGGAAAUGAAGGAAGACACAAGCAUUCUUGUGCAUGUUCAAGAUAAAGACUGUGUGUCUCUAGAGGUGCGAUAUCACAAGUCCUGUUACAGUACACCAGGUUCUUGACAAAGCCUACUGCAACAGACCGUGGGACCUCAGAAGAACAAAAUGAGCCAGCCUUAAAUGACAGCUACAAGAUCUUCUUUGAGACGGUCAUCCGCCAUAGAAUACUUGUAAACCAAGAGGUGUUGACAAUGACGCAGCUUAGAAGGAUCUUUUUAAAUCUUGUGAAAAGACAUGAAGAUCUUGAUGCUUCAAACUACAGGCAGGAUAAAUUGAAGAGGAGGUUGGCCCGUGAUUUCCCCCAGCUGGUGUUUCACUCCCCCAACAAGCGCAAC